UGGACCUGUGCUUCUUUGAGCAUAGUGGAUGCUCUCAUUAUAUAUCUAGUCGACACUCAUACAGUCAUACCUAACUUCCCGUAACUUCUGAUGGUUGUUCUCUCUGACUAUGCAGAAGGAUCAUCUUCUUCUUCGAUUCAUGGUCAUAAGCAUGACCAAUUUUUAAGUUUUAGAGGCAUCGACACCCGUUACAGUUUUACCAAUCACCUCCAUAAGGCCCUCCUUGAUGUCAAUAUCUCUACCUUUUUGGAUGAUGAAGAGAUUAAAACUGGAAGAUCUGAAACCGGAAUUGGAGACUGCGAUUAAAGAAUCUAGGGCUUCUAUUAUCGUGUUGUCCAAGAAUUACGCUAAUUCGUCGUGGUGUCUUGAUGAAUUGGUGAUGAUCCUUGAGCAACGUAGGUCAUCCAACCAAAUUGUUAUCCCAUUUUUUAUCAUGUUGAGCCCACCCAUGUUAGAAAGCAAGAAAGUACCUUUGGACUUGCAAUGGAUGAGCACAGACAGCAGAUGGAGGCGGAGACAAAUGCAAAUAAAAGAAGUCAAAUGGCUAAAAAGAUCGACAAUUGGGAAAAAGCACUUACGGAAGUUGCUAAUUUAAAAGGGAAUGAUGUAAACGGGAGGCUAGAGACAGAGUUCAUUGAUGAAGUUGUUAAGGACAUCUACCUUAGAUUACGUGUACCCUUAAGGAGUGCUUUACCACAACUUAUUGGGAGGGAGACUUCCAAGAACUUUGUGACUUCAUGGUUGAAAGAUACAUCCUCUGACACGAGAGACAUACUCACUAUUUUUGGCAUGGGUGGGAUCGGGAAAACAUCUUUAACAAAAUAUGUGUAUGGGUUACAUUGUCAUGAAUUCGACACAAGCAGCUAUAUUGAAGAUAUGAGUAGGAGAUGUGCUGGCAAUUUUAAUGGGUUGCUUGAUUUACAAAAACAACUAUGCAGUGAUAUUUCAAAAACAAGUCCAAUUCAAGGGUAUGAUUUUAUUACAUACACCUCGCAUAUAGAGAAUUUAGUAGCCGAUAAAAAGGUGCUUCUAGUUCUUGAUGAUAUUGAUAGUCUUGAUCAGUUGAAUGCAUUACUAGGAAGCAAAGCUUUCCAUCGAGGAAGCAAAAUCAUGAUAACAACAAAGAAUGUCUGGUUGACAGAGAGUUGUCUGCUAUUCAAAACGAACCCUAAACCAAAGCAUGAAAAGUACGAACUUAAAUGCUUAUGGGAGACCGAAUCACGAAAACUUUUGUGUGUUCAUGCAUUCAUGUGCAAUGAUCCUGAGGUAGGUUAUGAGGAGGUGUUAGAGAAGCUUGUGAAGUAUUGUGAAGGACAUCCAUUUGCUCUUGAAGUAUUGGGCAAAUCUCUUCAUAAUCGAGAUGUAGCUUAUUGGGAAGAGUGCAUAGAAGGGCUAAAGAGAGAAAACAGCUCCCCUGUAAAUAAUGUCUUGAGAAUUAGUUUUGACUCUUUAUCAUCCAAAAAUGAUAAGGAUUUGUUUAAACAUAUUGCUUGUUUUUUUGUUGGAACAGACAAAGAUGUUACCGAAACAAUAUUAAAGGCAUGUAAUAUAAAAACAAGAUCUGGGAUCACAAAUCUCAUUGACAGAUGCCUUCUUAGUAUUGGACGAAACAACAAAUUGAUGAUGCAUGGGUUGCUUCAAGAGAUGGGAAGAUUUGUAGUACGUGAAGAAUCACCUGACAAACCAUGGAAGCGAAGUCGAUUAUGGUGUCAUGAGGAGUCAUUCAAAGUUUUGAAACAAGAAAAGGGUAAGGGAAAGCUUCUAGGCCUUUCGCUUGACAUGCGAAUGCUUGAGAAAGAGAAGUUGGGUGCAUCGUUUGAGCUGAAAACAGAUGCAUUGGGUAAACUGAAUAACUUGAUGCUACUACAACUCAACUAUGUGCAAAUCAAUGGGUCUUACACAAACUUUCCAAAAGAAUUAAGAUGGUUGUGUAUGCAUGGGUUCCCAUUAAAGUCUUUACCUUCAGACUUACCAACAGAGAAUUUGGUUGCACUUGACAUGUCAUAUAGCAAUAUUGAAUCGUUUGGCAUUUGUUAUGGUGAUCCGCAACGACUCAUGAGUAGGAAAAAAUUAACUGGAUCAUGCUUAAAAAACAAAAGGUUGCUUGGAUCAUUAAAGAUUCUUAAUUUAAGUUUCUGUGAAGAGCUUUGCUGUCUGGGUUGCUUUGCCAAUAUGCCUUCACUUGAGAGGUUAAUAGUUAGAAAUUGCAUUGGUUUGGUUGAGGUUUGUGAAUCAAUUGAGGCAUGUGUUAAACUUGUCCUUGUUGAUUUGAGCUAUUGCAACAAGCUUGAAAAACUUCCAAGGAUCAUAAGCAUGUUAAAGAAGGUUAAAACACUAGUGCUUGAUGGUUGUAAUCUCGGUGGAUCUCAAAUCAAGAUUACAGAUCUGGAAAAGCUCACUGCUAAAAUUGAUAUUGAUAAAAAACCCUCUUCCUCUGCUAUUCUAGAGGCUAUAACAAAUGAUUUUAAGUUCUUUUCAAUUUCUUUACCGAGCUCUUUAGUAAGCGUGUCUCUUAAAAAUAACAAUCUGUCAAUGAAAUCCUUUCCCAUUGACUUCAGUUGCCUAUCUAUGUUAAAGAAUCUAUAUUUAGAUGGCAAUCCUUUCAUUUCCAUGCCCAAUUGUUUGAGAAGCCUUCCUAGGCUUGAGAUGCUUAGUAUGGGACACUGUAAAAGGCUGGCAUCCGUUGAGCAUCCUCCACAGACACUAAGAAAGUUGAUCCUGUUUUCAACUUUUAAGCCUUUGCUACGAAAAGUUGUAUUUCACCCAGAAAUGUCCCCACUCGACUUAAUAAUACCAUGGAAAUUAUUAGCACCUUCUUCGCUUGAAAUCCAAGGCAUUGUCAAAAUCCAACCAAUUGAAGGUGUUGAGGAGAAGGUAUUGCGUAGUUUGGGCUGGAGUAAGUUAGACUUCCUUAGCAAAAGAAGAACCGGAACUUACACUCGGUAUCGAGGAACAGAGGAAUCUAAAAUCCAGAUGUAUUAUCAAUUUGGAAUAUUCAGCACAAUUUAUGGAGGCAAAGAGAUGCCGAACUGGAUUACGGAUAGAAGCAAGGGGCCUUCAAUAUCAUUUACCAUCCUAUCAUGUCAACCUAACAACCUCAGAGGAUUGGAAUUCUGCUGUUUGCAGGCGUUUAUAUUUCCAAAUCAUCAGUUCCAUUAUCCGCCACUGAUUGUAAUCACUAAUGUAACAAAGAAUCGCACCUGGAUAUAUGAACAUUGCAUUGACAAUGUCAUUGUAGAUGAAGAGUGUGUAAUAUUGUUAAGCCAUUGGAUGUUUGGGAAGAAUGAGAUGGAAGGUGGUGACCAUGUUACUAUUAGGACAGUAACAGGGAGACCAUAUAACCAGAACAGACAAAUUACAGUGGAGUGUGGGGUGAGGCUCGUGUAUGAAGAAGAAGAAGAAGAUGCAUUGUGUUAUUACAAAUCAUGGAAUCACAUUAUUGGUGGAGAUCUCACAGGAUAUCAGUUAACAACAGGAGAAUACAUCUUAAGCAUAACUGGAAUAAAGAUGCAUGGAGUCGAAGAGAAUGCGUAUUAUCGUGAAUUACUUGAAGACGGGUCCCAUUAUAAAGAAAAGUCCCAAUAUUUACGGAAAAGUUACACUUUAGUCCCAAGAUUUUUUUUUUGAACGAAAAAGUCCUGAAAACCGGCAAAAAUUUACAGUUUGACCCUUUUUGACCGGUUGAAACCGGUACCCCCAUUAAUUUGGGACUAUUUCGUAAACUAACCCAAAAUAUUGAGACUUUUCUUUAAACAAAAAAUAUAAUGACUAAUAUUUUGGGUUUACAGAAAAGUCUCAAUAUUUUGGGUUAGUUUACGAAAUAGUCCCAAAUUAAUUUGGUACUGGUUUCAACCGGUCAAAAAUGGUCAAACUGCAAAUUUUUGCCGGUUUUCAGAACUUUUUCGUUUAAAAAAAAUAUUGGGACUAAAAUGUAACUUUUCCGAAAAUAUUGAGACUUUUCUGAAGAUUUCCCCUUUUUAUUUGCUUUCAUGACAAGGGAAAACGCAGUUUAGAGCUUUAUCCCCCAAGGAAGUCUGACAACUGACAAGUGAGGUAAACCUUUCUUUCAUCACACACACAAACAAAUAUGUUAUCAUUAAAGCUCCUCAUUGGUCAAGGUGUAGCAAAAUAGGUGUUACAAACUUGCAAUGGAUGCUAGGAAAUGGCAUCAUCAAACAUAAGUUAAUGGAUGAGUGGGAGCAUGGGACAUUCACCUGUAACAUCGAAACCAUUGAAAAUGCUUAUGAAUGACUUAUAGUGAACUUUGCAGUUCAAAAUGACUAGGGUUAGCAAGCUCGUGACAAUGUUGUAUGCAAGUAACAUGUAUACGUGUGGUUGAGACAGAUAUAAUCAUAUAAAGAUGUGCCAUUUUUUGUAGAUGUUCUUGUGUCUUCAAUGUUAAGAACACAGUACAACAUUUGGGGAAAUUUCGGCGUAGAGAAUAUAUUUUUAUAUGUUUCUUUUUAAAUUA